rnacentral:rRNA from 1 species
UACGUAGGUGGCAAGCGUUGUCCGGAAUUACUGGGCGUAAAGGGCGCGUAGGCGGCCCGCUAAGUCGAACGUGAAAUCCCCAGGCUCAACCUGGGAACUGCGUCCGAUACUGGCAGGCUUGAAUCCGGGAGAGGGAUGUGGAAUUCCAGGUGUAGCGGUGAAAUGCGUAGAUAUCUGGAGGAACACCGGUGGCGAAGGCGGCAUCCUGGACCGGUAUUGACGCUGAGGCGCGAAAGCUAGGGGAGCAAACGGG